AACAUGUAAAAAUAAAAACACUCUAAUCACCUAAAAAAUGUAUUUGUUGUCAGUGCAACAUUUGAAAAAGUUUUUCAUUAUAUGAAUUGUCAAAUUCUACAAAUAUAUAAAUGUUUGAGCAAACACACACUGCCAGUUGUGCACCAUCAUGAGCCCAGCAGCUUCUGCAGUUUUCUUGCUGAUCGCUUUUGAACUGUUCCUCUUGAUGUUUCUUGUGAAAUUCACACUGUUUUUACCAUUUGACGAAAUGAAACAGGAUUUAAUUCAUACACUGGAAACACAACAGGACUAGUAUCAGGAGAGGUGUAUAAAGACCCGCGAGACAAGUGGACCAAAGGCAGCCCGGAUCAAGAGAACACAAUAGGAGGAGCUCCAGAAAACCUGACCUUCAAGGAGCGCCAGAGACUCUUCUCGCAGGGGAAAGAGGUCUCCAAUAAAGUCAAAGCGUCCCGAAAGCUGAUGGAGCUGGAGAACGAACUCAACAUAAAACAGUAGAGCUCAAAACACAGGACUCCAUGCCAAUCUGUGACCACCACACACACACAAAAACACACACACACAC